rnacentral:rRNA from 1 species
AUUGAACGCUGGCGGCAGGCCUAACACAUGCAAGUCGAACGAGUGGCGGACGGGUGAGUAAUGUCUGGGAAACUGCCUGAUGGAGGGGGAUAACUACUGGAAACGGUAGCUAAUACCGCAUACCAUCGGAUGUGCCCAGAUGGGAUUAGCUAGUAGGUGGGGUAAAGGCUCACCUAGGCGACGAUCCCUAGCUGGUCUGAGAGGAUGACCGGCCACACUGGAACUGAGACACGGCCCAGACUCCUACGGGAGGCAGCAGUGGGGAAUCUUGCACAAUGGGCGCAAGCCUGAUGCAGCCAUGCCGCGUGUAUGAAGAAGGCCUUCGGGUUGUAAAGUACUUUCAGCGGUGAGGCGUUACCCGCAGAAGAAGCGCCGGCUAACUCCGUGCCAGCAGCCGCGGUAAUAC